rnacentral:rRNA from 1 species
UACGUAGGGACCAAGCGUUGUCCGGAAUCAUUGGGCGUAAAGAGCGUGUAGGCGGCUUGUUAAGUCUUGCGUGAAAUCUCGGGGCUCAACCCCGAGCGGUCGUGAGAAACUGGCAGGCUAGAGUCCGGAAGAGGAAAGUGGAAUUCCUGGUGUAGCGGUGAAAUGCGCAGAUAUCAGGAAGAACACCAAUGGCGAAAGCAGCUUUCUGGGACGGUACUGACGCUGAGACGCGAAAGCGUGGGGAGCGAACAGG